rnacentral:misc_RNA from 1 species
GUAGGUGAACCUGCGGAAGGAUCAUUAUCACGUUAUCCACGUAUAAACCAUUGUGAACCGUACCCCACCUUUGCGAUGCGGAAAAAAUUGGAGUUUAUUCUUCAGUUUUUUAAAAUAAGAGGAUUCGUUCUCUUAGCCGUGUUGCAAAGCGUAUUUUUAAAACUUAUUAACCAUUAUAACCCAAUCUUUAUAACAACUAUGAACUAAAACUAUUUUAUACUCUUCGGAGAUAAAAUUCAUUACGAAACAA